CAAUCGUGCUGGCGCUCCCCUGGGGUUGCUAGGUAACGGGCAGAACUCUGCUGAGGUUGCUAUGUAACGUGCUGG